rnacentral:lncRNA from 7 species
AUCUGAAGGCUGAUAAAUUCCACCUGAUGGAAGUUAACUUCUUAAGACACUGUUGGAGCAUCCCUUGGUUUGUUGUUGAUAUCAGGUCACUUUUUGAGACCAAUCACAGCUGCAGCUAUACCUGGAGUAGGACCUUGCUUUGGUUCUUCAUGAUUGCUAUAUCUAAAGUACAGCAGGAUGCAGCCAGAUAUGUCAAACUGCCCUUGUUUUCAACCAGGUAUUAGAUUCACAACUUCCUAAUGUAAAGAAAAAAAAAAAAUUAUCUGUAUUUUGAAGACUGAAUUCAUCUCCAGGUAAUACAAAUGAGAAACGGUGCUCUUCCCCACAGUAAUAGGAUUGCAAUCAAGCUCUCAAUGUGAUUUACAAACUCUGUAGUGUUAACCAAUUACUUGCUGGUCAGCCAAUAACAAUGACUGAAUCAUCUUUUGCUUCAGAAAAGGAUCACUGCGCACAAGUUGGAGAAUCUCACAGCACUGCCUUCAAACCAUUCCUACUAAAUAAGACACUGCACUUCUCUGUCGAUAGAUACUAUAUGGUAUUUUAGCCCAAGAAACUUAUGUCAGGAUGUAUAAAAACAACUGGGAACAUGCAGAAUAAUUGAAUCUUAAAUGAUUGUGUAUAAUGUGUCUGCAUUUAUAUUUCAGCAUUUAAAUGCGUUUCAAUACUUUGGUGUGUGAAAGGGUUAAACAAUAACAGAUUUCCUGUGCUAAACAGCUUAAUGAAAAACAUUCAGGGUGCUUUUUUAGAACAACAGACUCAUACUGCAAAAUGAUAAUCUUUGGUAUGUCCUUUUUUUUUUUCUUUUUCACAAGUAACAAUAUAGGCGAGACAGACUUUGCUAUAAUUCUUCCUAAUUGCUCUAAUGCAUUUCAUUUUAUUUUAGUGUUUUCAGUUUAUAAAAACAGUUAGCAUCAGUUUGUUUCCAGUUUUAAUGGAGAUAAACUCCUUCUUUUCCCCCUGAAAAAAUUCACAAUAUGGUUGGAAAUGUCAGCAAUA